rnacentral:rRNA from 1 species
AUUGAACGCUGGCGGCAUGCUUUACACAUGCAAGUCGAACGGUAACAGGUUAAGCUGACGAGUGGCGAACGGGUGAGUAAUGCAUCGGAACGUGCCCGGUCGUGGGGGAUAACGCAGCGAAAGCUGCGCUAAUACCGCAUACGAUCUGAGGAUGAAAGCGGGGGACCGUAAGGCCUCGCGCGAUCGGAGCGGCCGAUGUCAGAUUAGGUAGUUGGUGGGGUAAAGGCUCACCAAGCCAACGAUCUGUAGCUGGUCUGAGAGGACGACCAGCCACACUGGGACGGAGACACGGCCCAGACUCCUACGGGAGGCAGCAGUGGGGAAUUUUGGACAAUGGGCGAAAGCCUGAUUCAGCAAUGCCGCGUGCAGGAAGAAGGCCUUCGGGUUGUAAACUGCUUUUGUACGGAGCGAAAAGGUCUCCUCUAAUACAGGGGGCUCAUGACGGUACCGUAAGAAUAAGCACCGGCUAACUACGUGCCAGCCGCCGCAGUAA